UACGUAGGGUGCGAGCGUUGUCCGGAUUUAUUGGGCGUAAAGAGCUCGUAGGCGGCCUGUCGCGUCGACCGUGAAAACCCGCAGCUCAACUGCGGGCUUGCGGUCGAUACGGGCAGGCUGGAGUUCGGUAGGGGAGACUGGAAUUCCUGGUGUAGCGGUGAAAUGCGCAGAUAUCAGGAGGAACACCGGUGGCGAAGGCGGGUCUCUGGGCCGAUACUGACGCUGAGGAGCGAAAGCGUGGGGAGCGAACAGG
rnacentral:rRNA from 1 species